GCAUUUUCUGACGUAGCGAGCGACGGCGGGGAGCCGAGCGGAAGUCCAGCAGUGUUGCCGCUAGAGGAGGGGAGGGGUGAGAAGCAUAAGUGGCACCGGAAGUGGAAUUAAUCCGCCUACCUCUCCUGCGCCUGCGAAACAGAAAAGACAAGGCGCCUGUCGGGCGGGGUGUGGCUUCGGGUGGCGGAGAACGCUGCGAUUGGCCCUCGGCCGUGGCGACAGCGACGAUUGGUCCCUGCGUGCAGAGCGCGGUGAGAGUGGGUGGCGGCCGUUGGAAUUCAAAAGUGGCGGGUGUGGCGCGGGGCUGGUAGCGGCCGGAGCCGUGCGAGUUCUCUACCCUGCUUCGCGAGCGGGCGAGAGAACGCGAGUCCCAGGAUCCCCGGCACCCAGUUCUCUUCCACUGCAUUCCCCCGGCGCGUGUGGGACCGAGGUGGACAUGGAUCCGCAGAGGUCCCCCCUAUUGGAAGUAAAGGGGAACAUAGAACUGAAGAGACCUCUGAUUAAGGCCCCUUCCCAGCUGCCUCUCUCAGGAAGCAGACUCAAGAGGAGGCCUGACCAGAUGGAAGAUGGCCUGGAGCCUGAGAAGAAACGGACAAGAGGCCUGGGUGCAACGACCAAAAUUACCACAUCCCACCCAAGAGUUCCAUCCCUCACUACAGUGCCACAGACACAAGGCCAGACCACAGCUCAAAAAGUUUCCAAGAAGACAGGACCCCGGUGUUCCACAGCUAUUGCCACAGGGUUGAAGAACCAGAAGCCAGUUCCUGCUGUUCCUGUCCAGAAGUCUGGCAGAGCAUCAGGUGUUCCUCCCAUGGCAGGAGGGAAGAAACCCAGCAAACGUCCAGCCUGGGACUUAAAGGGUCAGUUAUGUGACCUAAAUGCAGAACUAAAACGAUGCCGUGAGAGGACUCAAACAUUGGACCAAGAGAACCAGCAGCUUCAGGACCAGCUCAGAGAUGCCCAGCAGCAGGUCAAGGCCCUGGGGACAGAGCGCACAACACUGGAGGGGCAUUUAGCCAAGGUACAGGCCCAGGCUGAGCAGGGCCAACAGGAGCUGAAGAACUUGCGUGCUUGUGUCCUGGAGCUGGAAGAGCGGCUGAGCACGCAGGAGGGCUUGGUGCAAGAGCUUCAGAAAAAACAGGUGGAAUUGCAGGAAGAACGGAGGGGACUGACGUCCCAACUAGAGGAGAAGGAGAGGAGGCUGCAGACAUCAGAAGCAGCCCUGUCAAGCAGCCAAGCAGAGGUGGCAUCUCUGCGGCAGGAGACUGUGGCCCAGGCAGCCUUACUGACUGAGCGGGAAGAACGUCUUCAUGGGCUAGAAAUGGAGCGCCGGCGACUGCACAACCAGCUGCAGGAACUCAAGGGCAACAUCCGUGUAUUCUGCCGGGUCCGCCCUGUCCUGCCGGGGGAGCCCACUCCACCCCCUGGCCUCCUCCUGUUUCCCUCUGGCCCUGGUGGGCCCUCUGAUCCUCCAACCCGCCUUAGCCUCUCCCGGUCUGACGAGCGGCGUGGGACCCUGAGUGGGGCACCAGCUCCCCCAACUCGCCAUGAUUUUUCCUUUGACCGGGUAUUCCCACCAGGAAGUGGACAGGAUGAAGUGUUUGAAGAGAUUGCCAUGCUUGUCCAGUCAGCCCUGGAUGGCUAUCCAGUAUGCAUCUUUGCCUAUGGCCAGACAGGCAGUGGCAAGACCUUCACAAUGGAGGGUGGGCCUGGGGGAGACCCCCAGUUGGAGGGGCUGAUCCCUCGGGCCCUGCGGCACCUCUUCUCUGUGGCCCAGGAGCUGAGUGGUCAGGGCUGGACCUACAGCUUUGUAGCAAGCUACGUAGAGAUCUACAAUGAGACUGUCCGGGACCUGCUGGCCACUGGAACCCGGAAGGGUCAAGGGGGCGAGUGUGAGAUUCGCCGUGCAGGGCCAGGGAGUGAGGAGCUCACUGUCACCAAUGCUCGAUAUGUCCCUGUCUCCUGUGAGAAAGAAGUGGAGGCCCUGCUUCAUCUGGCCUGCCAGAAUCGGGCUGUGGCCCGCACAGCCCAGAAUGAACGGUCAUCACGCAGCCACAGUGUAUUCCAGCUACAGAUUUCUGGGGAGCACUCCAGCCGAGGCCUGCAGUGUGGGGCCCCCCUCAGUCUUGUGGACCUGGCCGGGAGUGAGCGACUUGACCCCGGCUUAGCCCUCGGCCCUGGGGAGCGGGAACGCCUUCGGGAAACACAGGCCAUUAACAGCAGCCUGUCCACGCUGGGGCUGGUUAUCAUGGCCCUGAGCAACAAGGAGUCCCACGUGCCUUACCGGAACAGCAAACUGACCUACCUGCUGCAGAACUCUCUGGGUGGUAGUGCUAAGAUGUGAGUGAAAGGGACAGAUGGAAGGGGUCAGGCUCAUGUUUGUGAACAUUUCUCCACUGGAAGAGAACGUCUCCGAGUCCCUCAACUCUCUACGCUUUGCCUCCAAGGAACCUCCUGGCCGGGCGCGGUGGCUCAUGCCUGUAACCCCAGCACUUUGGGAGUCCGAGGCGGGUGGAUCACGAGGUGAACCAGUGUGUUAUUGGUACUGCUCAGGCCAACAGAAAGUGAAGACGGAUCCAGAUCUGUGUGUGUGUGUGUGUGUGUGCGCGUGUGUCCGUAUGUCUAUGUAUCGGGUGAGGGGUGGGAGGGUUGCUGGAGGGUGCUUUAUUGGGUGGAGGGCACCAUGUCCCAGGGCUAUCAAAUAAAGAAUAGUUUUUUUUUUUAAUAAAGGUUUUAUUAGCAUUUGCCCAA